rnacentral:lncRNA from 1 species
GGACUUUUGUUGUCCAUAAUGAUACCAUAUGCAUAACUGUUACGUUGUGUCAUAAGUCGUAUUUCAUAUCUAUGCGCAUAUUGUUAUGAUUGGGUGUGAGAUUAUGGUGAUGUUGAUUGUGUGUUGAAUGUGUGUUAUGUUGUAUAUUUCACUACAUUAAAUUUUUUUACAUUGUUCAUAUUGAACGUUGUUUCUUCCCAUUUGCCUCAUGUUGUCCAUCAUGGACAUCU